CGAGUCGGUGGGGCGGCCGCGGCACGGGGACCGGCGCGUACUGCGUGCAGGCCCGGGUCGAGGAAAGUCCGGACUCCACAGAGCAGGGCGGUUGCCAACGGCAACCCGGGGCGACCCGCGGGACAGUGCCACAGAGAACAGACCGCCGGCGCGCACCCUUCGGGGCGCGGGCCGGUAAGGGUGAAACGGUGCGGUAAGAGCGCACCAGCGUUGCGGGUGACCGCAGCGGCUCGGUAAACCCCGCCCGGAGCAAGGCCGAAGGCCGCAUCGGAUCCACUGUGGAUCGGGUGCGGCUGCGCAGGUGAUCGAGGGCUGCUCGCCCGAGCCUGCGGGUUGGCUGCUCGAGGCACCCGGCGACGGUGUGUCCAGAUGGAUGGUCGCCGCCCGCGCUGCCCGGUUCGCCGGUGCGGCGCGGGAACAAAAUCCGGCUUACACACCGGCUCGUCCG
rnacentral:RNase_P_RNA from 1 species